GAUAAAGAUUUCAGAAUCAGGCCAGGGCAAUCAGCGCCCUGUGUACUCGGUCGUACAUCAAGCCGGUUGCCUGAUUCCUUGCAUUGAGUGAUGUACGGAGUUUAAAGAGC
rfam:Enterobacter cloacae SCF1, complete genome.